UUUUGAACUAGGACAAGAAAAAACCCUAGCCCCUUCUUCUUCAUCUUCUCCACACACCCCCCCCAAACCCUAGACCACCAUCUCCUUGAACCAAACACAUCCAUCCAUCGUCAACCACUGCCUUCACGAUGCCGGCAACCAGUCCAAACGCCAUCUCCGCCUCACUACCACUGUUACGUCCAAACGACCCCACCUAUCACGCCAAACGCCGUUGCUGCCUCGUCUCUUCCAUAUCGAUAGGAGCUCACAAGAGCUACCAAAAGCUUGCGGUGUUCCCCAGUAGUGUGAUAAGCAACGUCCUCUUCAAGAGAUUUCUUGUAACGAGCAUGAUAAGCUUCCCUUCCCGAAACCAAUUCUUUAGGAGAUCUGGUACAAGCUAGUUCCACAAGAACAAAAUUGCUUUUUGUCCAUCUCUUAGUAGCUUCCUUAGCCAAAUAGGCAUCGCGCUCUGAAGGAUUCAAUGUCCACACUACCACCAAUUUCUCAAAUCAUUGGUAAGUUCUCUGUCCAACUCUUUAAGGAUAUCUUCACCAAAAGUCUCAGCAUACCAUCAAUUUCUCAAAUCAUUGGUAAGUUCUCUGUCCAACUCUUUAAGGAUAUCUUCAACAAAAGUCUCAGCAUAAGUCUGUUGAAUCAACUUGCGUUGAGCAGCAUUUCUAUGAGCCAAAAUCGAUAUGAUCAACUUCUCGUUUGUUCCCCAUCCUUUGAAGGCAGCUCGGAGUUGUUCAGUCUUCAACAACUGAAGGAACUUCUGCUGUAACAAUAAGACUAGCCAUUUUUUUCAAGACUUGUAAAUGCUAGCUAAGGUCCGUCCUCAUCUCCAUAGCUUCAUCGACGAACAAUACACACACAGUCAUAUGGACAGAAAAGUAAGAGAAAAUCUCGACUUUUGCUUUGAUCUUUGCUCAUGGAGUUUGUUUGAGGUCGUUACUCAAAGGUUCGAGUUUCUGGUGAAGUUUCCGGGCAGAUCUUAUUUCCGCUCGAGUUCGUCCUAGCUUUAUCUAGUCAGUCCAUUCAAUAUAUUAUUAGCGUGCAUUCAUGUUUGUUUAAGUUAGAAUUGUGUUAGUUCAUGCCUUGUAUAUGUGUCAAUCAUGGUUGGAAAUUUGACUUUGUUAGUUCAAUAUAAUUUUGUUCUGAUUCAAUAUGAUGUUAUUAUGAUUCAUGGGUCAUCAAUUGUGUCUCAAGCUUAAAAUUGUGAUUUGAGUUUCAUGAAUGCUAAUGUUGUUCUGACAUGAAUUUGAUCUUGAAGAAGGUGUAUUUAGUUAGAGCUGAUUGAUUUUGUGCGGAUAGAAAGGGAUAGGGGCUAUGGUAGUAAUUUUUAGUUAUUUCGGGGGUAUUUUGGGAAUUGAUUAAGUGUAGGCCCAUAACUUUUAGUUAAAAUAAAAGGGACCAAGGGUAGUGGGGGACAAGACAUAAUUAUUAAAGUAAAAGAGGGUGGGGACUGUGUAGUCCACGUUUGACUACUCUUUGCUUUAAUAAUAAAAGCUGAAAAGUAAAAGUAAAAGGAGGGGGUAAUAAUAAAAGAGUAGUAAUAAUAAUUAAAGGGAGGAGAAAGAAUCUUGCAUUUUGGGGUAUAUAAUAGCAGUAAUUUUAACAUUUAGGGGAAAGUAAAAGUAAAAGGAGGGGAUAAUAAUAAAAGAGUAGUAAUAAUAAUUAAAGGGAGGAGAAAGAAUCUUGCAUUUUGGGGUAUAUAAUAGCAGUAAUUUUAAUAUUUAGGGAGAGAAGAUUUUAGAGAAAAGACAUAUUUGCAGUAUUAAAGGGAAAUAAAAAAAUUCAGAUUCGGCCUUUGAGAAUUAAAAACUGAAAGUGAAGUCUUUCAGAACAUUGUUACUGCUUCUGUGGUUUGCAUUUGGCACUGCUGAUUUUCAGAUUGAAUUUUUGAGUUCCUGCUUGGGUUUCUGAUAUUGGUUUUGCUGUUGGAUUAUUUUUUAAUCUAUUUAUUGAGUAUGGAAUCAUCUUUGUUGAUUUUAAAAUCUGUCCCUGGGCAUUCAAUUUGCUACUGCAGUUGAUGUUUUCUAUUGUUCCUUGGCUACGGCUGGCCCUUGUCUUCUCCUGUCUUAUUUCUCUAAUCCAUGUAUUCACUUGAGUUAAAUACCGGUGUAACUGUGCAGUUGAGCAUGAGUUGAAAUGUGAAGACUUUUUAUUAUGAAAUAUUGUACCACUAGUUUAAUAGAUACAAUGAUAAUUAGUUAUGUAAUUUUUGGUUUAUAAUUCAACAAAAAUGCAUUAGGUAGAUUGUACUUAAUUGAAGCUUUAUUUAUUUUAAAACUGUAAUUUGUAGUUGUUUAGUUAUAUAUUUAAUAUAGUUAUGUGAUUUGUACGAAUGAACAUGUAGUUAGUCGAUCGAUAACUAGAUUUCAUCCUUAAUUGUCUCUUACAUAUAUAAAGUAAUUCGGAAUCACCUUCAAUUCAAAUUGGUAAACAGUUAAUAUGGAGAAUCGAUUUAACUUAAUUGGUUGGUAAGAUCUACUCUGAACUUGCGAAUAUUGAAAUAAAAGUAAUUUGAAAUUGGUGAUUUUUGAAUCUUGUUAGUAACAAAUAUCCGCAAGUAUUAAGCAAAUAUAGUUGGGUACUAAUUUUGUAAAAUCAAGAUGUAGCAAGGGAUAAUGUUAAUUUUAUAGGCAUGAUUUGAGUUAAAGCAAGUUGGUUUAACGUUUAGAUUUAAUAAACUUUCAAAUAAGCAUUAAUAAUUAAGGUUGAUUUUAGUUUUAAAUAGUUUUAAAUAAUUAAUGGUUUAUUCAUAUAAGUGUGCGGGUUUUAAUCUAGUUAUAAUUAAUUUCUUUUGAAUAUUAAUUGUCAAAUUUCAUCUUUUAUUUAUAAUUUCAAAUUUUUUUUAUAUUUUUUAAUUUCGAAAUUGUUUUAAUUUUAUUUACUUUCCAUUAAUAGUUGUCUUAAUCUAGCAAUUAGUGUGUUACAUUUUUAUUUUCAAUCUCUUAAUUAAUUAGGAUUUUUCUCUUUUAAUUUAAAGACGAACUUAAUAGAAAAAAUGUAGUCACUUUAGGAUUGCCCUUAUAAAAUAAAUGAGGCGAGCCUCUCCAAAUAAAUAAUUGUGGGGCCCUCAGUAAAUAUUUAUAAAUAGCUAAAAAUUGGGAAUGGUCGUUUAGUAAAUUUCACGACCCUCCCAAAAGAUUACAACUCGCUAAACUCUCUUUAAGACAUGCCUUAAUUAAUGUUACCUCCCUAAAUUCGAGUGUGCAUUUAUGCGACAAAAUCCAGAUCUCGACUGAGUCGAAAUGUGUCAAUGAACACGGGUACACUGGUUGUGACGUGGUCCGAGAUAUGUUUUCAAUAUGUUGCAAUUUUCUGUAAAUAAUAACAAUAAUAAUUUGAAUAAAAGCGGUAAAAAGUAAAAUUGGCACAUAGAUUCUUCAUGUAAUAAAAUCGGAUAAAUAAGCUAAAUAUGACAGUUGAGCGACCGUGCUAGAAUCUCGAAACUCGGAAAUGCCUAACACCUUCUCCCAGGUUAACAGAAUUCCUUAUCCGGAUUUUUGGUGUGCGGACUGUUAAAUAGAGUCAUUAUUUUUCUCGAUUCGGGAUUAAACCGGUGACUUGGGACACCAUAAAUCUCCCAGGUGGCGGCUCUGAUUCUUUAAUAAAUAAUCCCGUUUCGAUUGUCCUUCAAUUGGAAAAACUCCAUUGCGCCCUUGGGGUGCGGAAAAAGGAGGUGUGACAGCUCUGGCGACUCUGCCGGGGAAAAAACCCAGAAUCUCUGGUUCAGGGAUAGAAACUCGAGCUUAGUAAAUUGUGAUGUUUGACUUAUCUGAUUUUGUUACAUUAUUUGUUCUUACUGUGCUAGUUGAUUGUAUUACCGCUUUGAUAUUAUUGAACUGUAUUAUAAAUUGUCUUCUUGCUCACCCCCUCUGAGUCUUUUGAAUACAACUUCGGGAAUCGCGGAUACGCGCCCCAUUCUUUGUUGAGAUAAAGCAGAAGGUCCUGGGAUCCUGAUGAAGGAUUAUCAGUCACCCAUAUUUAAGAACGGGGAGGGUCCAGUAGCUAAAGCCGGAAAAGUACUGCUACCGGUACGCUACCCUUCCCAACUCGAGUUUUCUGCUCGUUUUAUGGCCCGUCUAGAUGCUCCUCAUACCCAAGGCAGUAAAACCUAGUAUAACGAGACUUCAUGUCGGAUCCCUAGUAGGAACGUUUAUUUGCAUCAUGUGCAUUUGACUUAAAGGACUCAACACAAGGGUUGGGUCCGUCUAGGACAAGUAACCUGAAGUAAAAAGACCAUAAUGCUGCAUCCUGUUUGUUUUUUGCAUUUAUUUGCUUCAGACUGUCAUGCUGACCGGCUUUGAAUUGUGAAAAGAAAAAAAGUUUAGCAGUGUAGAGUGUUAAUUACAUAUUUUUCGAAAAUUAAUUUCCAAAUAGUGGCGAAAUUCUACCAAAAUUUUGGGAAAAAAUGAAAAAAAGGAGUUGUGUUUAGUUUGAUUUAUUUGAAAAAUAUAUAAAAAAAAUAAAAGAGUCCUUAUUUUUGGAUUUUCUUGUUUUCAAAAUAGUUUAUUUUGCCCGCAAAAAAAAAAAGGUUUUUUUAUUGAAAAAGAAAAAGAGUCUUUAUUUUUAGCUUGAAAAAAUAGGUUAAUUUAUUAUUUGUUGAAAAAGAAAAAGAGCCUUGUUUAAGUUUGGGAAAAAUAGGUUGUUUUAGUUUUGUUGAAAAUAAAAAGAAAAAAAAGUCAUUAUUUUGUCUUGUGUUCAAAAAAAAAGAAAAAUAGUUUGCUUUGCGAUGAAAAAUGAAAAUGAAAAGAAUCGUGCUUUGAAAGUAGUUUUGUUAUUUGCAUCCAAAAAUAAAUAUAAAAAAGAGUUAUGUUUUAAAAUAGUUCAGUUAAUUUGGCGAACUACGCUGGUUUGAUUCUCACAGGGCAUGAGAUACGUAGGCAACCCUAAUCGGGUCCAACCUUCCCUUUCCCAAAAAAGUAAAACAAAAUGUCAACAUUUUAAUUUCAGUCAUAAAUAAGUCAAGUGAUGUUGUUUUGUCAAAAAAUAGCCAAAUUUUCCCGAAAGGGAUGCCAGAAGGUUGGCUUUUGCAUAAACGACCACUUUGAGUCAUCUUUUGAAUUUUGACCAGUUAUCCCACACAGCCUUAUAAUCCUCGUCCUCGAGGCUCUGUAAGGUCGUAUUGUCAAAUGUUAGGAUGAUAUUUUGGAAAAACGUGAAAAGAGUCUUAAAAAUAAUCGGGUGAUGCUGUUUUGGUCAAAUAUAGCCGAAUGUUCCCGAAAGAGAUGCCGGAAGGCUGACUUUGCAUAAACGGACACCUUUGAUCAAUUUUUUAGAUUUUGGACGGCUGACUCACAUAGCUUUAAAGUCUUCGUCCCCGAAGUGCAGAAAAGCCGUCUUUGCAAAACCUGGUUUUUUAUUUUAACUUGAAAAAAAAUGAGUCAGUGGGCAAGUGAGUGCCAUUUGAAUUUUGGUCAAAAUAAGCCGAGCCAGCUUCGGUGAUAUCUUAAAUAGUUCUUGCCAAGAUAGCCUUAGAGUAUACUUCAGAUGUCGAAAGGCUAUUUUCGUAAAUGAAAGGACAAGUUUGUAGAGUGUCAUGAAAUAAUUUUCUCGGCCUCAAAAUUCAUGUGAAUUGGGAGCGGGCCACAUUUGUAGAAAUAGCCAUUUGACUGAAAGUGACAAAUAGGUCCGAUUGAAGUCGGGAGUCCGUAUGUUGUCUUUUCGUCAAAUUGUGAUAGUUUGGUCCGUUUUUAAACCAUUGUAAUUAAAGUUGGUUUUACUAUGAAAGUUGAAUAUUCCAAAAAAAAAAUUCAUUGUUGUUUACUUUUUAUUGGUCCAAACUACGAACGGUCUGAUUCAUGCGGAGUCAUGAUACGUAGGCAAUCUCCAUAAUAUUCGACCACAACUGAAAAAGCAAAAAAAAAAAUGAAAAUGAAAAAUGAUGAAAAAAAAAUGGAAAACAAAACUAAAAAAAAGGAUUUUUGUUAAUAAUGUGGACCGACUUAGUUCAUUCUAACCUGUUUUUUUUUAAUCACUAAGAAAAUUAAGGUGGUUGGUUUGUGGUUUUGAAAUGGCAACUCCUCCUGCUGUUGAUACUAAGGCCCACAUGCUGCUAAAAUUUCUGUGCUAUCAGAGGUUGAUCUUGAGAACGGGUCGACAAAAGGAACCUGUUAAGAAUUAUGUGAUGAAAACUUGUGAAGUUCCUAUUAUUGUUGAUGCAGAGCCCAGUGGCUAAGAUGUUGCACUUGGUAAUUGGGAAGACGCUCCAUUUUGGGACAGCUGGAGAGGAGCUUUGAUGGUUUAUUUUGUUGUCAUUUCUCUUAUCCAGGUUAUAAUCCGGAUAUUGUCUUGUUGUCAAACCCUCUUAUCCUUUCAUAUUUGUUUAGCCAUAGUUGGUUUGUUUAGUGUUGUCCAUGAUCAUUUCAGUUUCAUUCCAAGGGUUUGGUUUGUUUAGUGUUGUCCAUGAUCAUUACAGUUUCAUUCCAAGAGUUAUACUCUAGUUGUUUUUCUUGUUUUGUUAUUCGAACAGUUUCACCGUUUGUCCAAUGCCAAAUUCCGGUCCUUUGUUACCUCCAGUAUUCUUCUUUGUUUAGUUCUUCUUUACCCUUUUAUUUUGCUUUUGUUCAACACCGAUUCUAAUGACAUGAUAUGCGCGCACAGCUUAGGCCUAAUCUUAAAUGCUAAUCAAAGCGAUUGAGAGAUGAUCGGAACAUUUCAAGGAAAUAAGGACGGUUUGAGAUUAUUUGGAGCCCGAGUCAUAUGAAACUGGGGCAAGUAAAAAGAAAAUCGUUAAAGGAAAGUUGGCCAAAUUGACGUGGGAGUCGUUCGUGGUAAUGAAAUGAGGGUGUUGCCCAGCGAUGCUUUAGAGAACCGUUAAAGGCAAGUUGGCCAAAUUGACAUGGGGUCGCCCGUGGUAGUGAAAAUGAGAGUGUUUCCCAACAAUGUUAUGUGUAGAUAUGGUUAUCUGGGGCAAUCAAAAGAUGUUGCCAAUGUUUUUGGCGGUUUGAUAAUCGUGUUGUUUGCACUUGAUAUGUUUUGAAGAUUGGAAUGACGAAAGCAUUUUGUUCUGCUACUUAAACACGUUAUCCUUCGUUAACCUUUUAGCCUUAUUUAAUUUUUCUUUCAUACCCCUCUUUAGGAAUCAGUAACAAAGAGUAGAAACACAAACAGAAAAAAAUAAGAAAAAGAAAAAGAAAAAGAGAAAACAACAAAAUAGAGAACAGAAAACAAAAGAGAAAUGAGAAAAGAAAAAGAAAAGAAAGAUAAGAAAUGAGUGAAAAGGAAGGCUAUAACAACAAGGAAUUGGGAACUACGUUUGACCUGAUUCCUCAAAGAGGAUACGUAGGCGCUUCAUAGCUCGGUCAUAGUGUAAUAAAAUAUUAAAAAGUCCCCCAAGCAAGAAACUGGGGCAAAUAUUGGGUUUGUUGUAAAUAAGUCGAAUUUCGAAGGUUGUAAUUUUGAACCUAAGUUAAUUUGUUUUGAGCCUUUCAAUACCUUUUCUUUCUAGCCCCAUCCAAAAUCUCACAUUACAGUCUAAAGAAAGACCUUCUGAUUAGUCUUCAAAAGAUGCCAAGUCAGAAAAAUGAGGGAGUCUUAUCAGAACUUAACACUAUGAUCUCCAAUAGAAAAGACUCUGAUCCCCGACGAAAAGACUCUGACCCCAGCAGAAAAGACUACUGUCCCCUGCAGAUAAGAUACAUGAGAGAAUCUUAUCGGUAACACCCCAAUCCCCGGCUUAGAAAUAAAAUGAGAGUCUUACCGGUGAAAACCUUCACAGGAAUCAUAAGGCGAUGAAAGCUAAGAGAAAAAGCCAAAAUGAGAGAGGCUUGACAGUGAGAACCUUUGGGCACUACAAGUCGAAUAAGGGUUAGAAUCUGAUGGGGAAUCACCAAACGAAGAUCUUGAAAGACGAUUGACGACAGAGGAUAGGCCACAUGUGAAUGUCAUGACCAUUAGAGUCGGUAUCCGCAUUUGAUAGGUUUUUAUUUUAUCGUUUCUCUUGUGAGUUGUCUCUAUCCUUCGUUUUUAUUCCAUUCGUUUUUAUCUUUCUCCUUUCAUGGAAAAAUUCCCCGUAGAGUCUGUUUGGUCAAAACAAGUAAGAAAUGACUUCAAAAUAUGCCAUCAGCUUCCAAUUAGGCAAGACGAGAUCUAACUGGUGCAUCCAAGUGGCAUGAGUCAGGAAGGAACAAGUGCAAGGCCUGUGUCGGGAUAUCCCCAGAAAGAUGAGAUUGACGAAAGGACAGACCAGUCAAGAAGGAUAUCCCACAGGAAUCAAAGGUUAUAGACCUCAAGGCCAAGGUCCGUGGACAAAGAACAGUGCAGAGAGCGAUGGGUAUGAUUUGGCGAAAUUCAUGUGAGACUCAAGGGUCAGGGAAAUGCCAGUUCCUGAGCUAUGCCACGAAAGUAGAGGGAUAUCCCCAGAGAAAGUGGUAUAUCAGCAAAACAUUGCAAAACUUUUCAAGGAAAAUCAGCUAUUGCGGAAACGAUACGGGGUCAUAUGGGAAAUAAUGGUGAGGGGUUUGUGCAAAAGGAAUCGUCAAGAAGGUCGGGAGUUAUCAGCCCAGCUUUAAGAUGGUCGGACAUCACAGAGCAUGGGAAUGAGAAGAGGAAAGUCAUCCCAGCUGGAGUAUCACAACCAACCACCCCGUUUUAAACUGACCAACUUUUCUUUGAUGUGAAACAGGGACGUGAAUGUCAUCGAUGGCCGAGAAGCGUGAUGUAAAGAGGUUUAUCAAACUGGCGCAGAAAAAUUUUCUUUGCAUUUUGAAAAUUUUCUGAAAAUCAGGUAUCCACUUUGGAGAACAAGGGAAAUAAGACAAGUCUAAAAGGAAGUGGUCUUCGAACCAAUGUUAUCCCCAGCGCAACACCAGUUUUGAAGGAUUGAAAAUCCCCCAUCAGUGUUAUCCUCAACAGCGUUAUCCCCAGCUGAUGACAUUUUUAUCCCCAGCGGUGUUAAGAGAAAAAUAAAAUUGUAAAGGAAGUAGUAUUGAAAAAAAAGAAAAAAAACAUGAGCGGAAGAAAAGAGAUCCCCAGCAGAAAUAUCAUCCCCAGCAAGUUUUGAUAGCGUAAUGAAAUGCAAGGCAGGGAAAGGAGAAAAGGAAAAACCAUCUCCAGCAUGAGUGGCAUGACCACUCACCACAUUUAAACUAACCAAGUUUUCUUUGAUUUGAAAUAGGAAAAAGAAAUAUCGUUGAUGGCGGAAAGAUACGCCACAAGGAAAAGCACCAAAACUGGGGCAGAAAGUUUUCUGCCAUUGUUGAAAAUUUUCUCGGAGUAACGAGGAAACCAUUUAAGUUGUCGCAGUCGAGAGCCCACCCGUAGAACGGAGGCGUUAUUUUUAAGUUGUUAAAGUAGGGAGCCCGCCCGUAGAACGAAGGCGUUAUAUUUAAGUUGUUGAAGUCGGGAGCUAGCCCGUAGAACAGUGGCACUAUCUUUAAGUUGUUGAAGUUGGGAGCCCGCCUGUAGAAUGGAUGCGUUAAUUUUAAGUUGGUGAAGUCGGGAGCCUGCCCGUAGAACGGAGGCGUUAUCUUUAAGUUGUUGAAGUCGGUAGCCAGCUCGUAGAACGCAUAUGUUAUUUUUAAGUUGUUGAAGUCGGGAGCCUGCCCGUAGAAUGGAGGCGUUAUUUUUAAGUUGUUGAAGUAGGGAGCCCGCUCGUAUAACGGAGACGUUAUUUUUAAGUUGGUGAAGUCGGGAGCCCGCCCGUAGAAUGGGGGCGUUAUAUUUAAGUUGUUGAAGUCGGGAGCUCGACCGUAGAAUGGAGGCGUUAUUUUUAAAUUGUUGAAGUCGGGAGCCCGCCCGUAUAAUGGAGGCGUUAUUUUUAAGUUGUUGAAGUCGGAGCCCGCCCGUAGAAUGGAGGUGUUAUCUUUAAGUUGUUGAAGUCGGGAGCCCCCCCCUAGAACGGAGGCGUUAUUUUUAUGUUGUUAAAGUAGAGAGCCCGCCCGUAGAACGAAGGCGUUAUCUUUAAGUUGUUGAAUUCAGGAGCCAGCCCGUAGAGUCGAGGCAUUACUUUUAAGUUGUUGAAGUCGGGAGCCCGCCCGUAGAGUGGUGCCAUUAUUUUUAAGUUGUUGAAGUUGGGAGCCCGCCCCUAGAAUGGAGGCGUUAUUUUUAAGUUGUUAAAGUCGGGAGCCCGCCCGUAGAACGGAGGCAUUAUCUUUAAGUUGUUGAAGUCGGGAGCCCGCCCGUAGAACGGAGGCGUUAUUUUUAAGUUGUUAAAGUCGGGAGCCCGCCCGUAGAAUGGAGGCGUUAUUUUUAAGUUGUUGAAGUCGGGAGCCCGCCCGUAGAAUGGAGGCAUUAUUGAAGUCGGGAGCCCGCCCGUAAAACGGAGGCGUUACUGUUAAGUUGUUGAAGUCGGGAGCCCUCCCUUAGAAUGGAGGCAUUAUUUUUAAGUUGUUGAAGUCGGGAGCCCGCCCAUAGAAUGGAGGCUUUAUUAUUACGUUGUUGAAGUCGGGAGCCCUCCCCUAGAAUGCUUUAAAUUGUUGAAGUCGAGAACCCGCCCGUAGAACGGAGGCGUUAUCUUUAAGUUGUUGAAGUUGGGAGCCCGCCCGUAAAACAGAGGCAUUAUUUUAAGUUUUUGAAGUCGGGAGCCCGCUCGUAGAACGGAGGCGUUAUUUUUAAGUUAUUGAAGUUGGUAGCCCGCCCGUAGAACGGAGGCAUUAUUUUUAAGUUGUUGAAGUCGGGAGCCCGCCCGUAGAAUGAAGGCGUUAUUUUUAAGUUGUUGAAUCGGGAUCCCGCCUGUAGAACGGAGGCGUUAUUUUUAAGUUGUUAAAGUCGGGAACCCACCCGUUGAACGGAGGAGUUAUUUUAAGUUAAAAAAAGUCAGGAGCCCGCCUGUAGAACGGAGGUAUUUAUUUUGAGUUAAAGGAGUCAGGAGCCCGCCUGUAGAACGGAGGUAUCUAUUUUAAGUUAGAGGAGUCAGGAGCCCACCUGUAGAACGGAGGUAUUUACUUUAAGUUGAGGAGUCAGGAACCCGCCUGUAGAACGGAGGCAUUUACUUUAAGUUGAAGAAGUCAAGAAUCCGCCUGUAGAACUGAGGUAUUUAUUUUAAGUUAAAAGAUGUCAGGAGCUCGCUUGUAGAACAGAGGUAUUUACUUUACGUUAAAGGAGUCAGGAUCACACCUGUAUAACGAAGGUAUUUAUAUUAUGUUAAAAGAGUCAGGAACUCGCUUGUAGAACGGAGGUAUUUAUUUUAAGUUAAAUGUGUCAGGAGCCCGCCUGUAAAAUAGAGAUAUUUAUUUUAAGUUAAAUGAGUCAGGAGUUCGCCUGUAGAAUGAAGGUAUUUACUUUAAGUUGAAGAAGUCAGGAGCUCGCCUGGAGAAUGGAGGCUGAUUUAUCUUUAUUUUGCCAAUGAAGUCAGGAGCCCUCUUGCAGAACAGAGGAGUACAAUUCAAGAUCAAAUCAGAAGUCAGAAAUGCAGAGGGUUACAACAAAAAUCUCCAGCAUAACAAGCGUAAAUGAAGGAAGAAAUAUCCCCAGCGGAUAGAACAAGAUGAGGAAAAAUCGCAGAGGUUCGGUCAAAUCUUUUAAAGAUUGCUUCACGCAGAGUAUUCAAAAUGGGCAAAAAUCCUCGUAUCCGCUCAAUUUAUCUUUGCACAAGAACUCUUCGAGUUUACGAGCAAAGAGGGGCAGCUGUGAGCACAUGAUUUUUGCCCUAUAUAUAAGUUACUCCCAUAAAAUUCAAAAUAAAAGCAAUUUGUAUUUGUUUCCAAUUGUUGGGAAUUUUCUGUUAUUUUCCUUGUAUUGUUUGCGUUGGUGUGUGCAUGUUUAUUUGAUUAAAGUAAUAGAAAAAUACAAAAAAUAUAUCGCAUUUGCGUUUGGGGUUUAAUUUUAUAAGUAAGAGUAAUUAAGUUUGUUUUACGAAAAUGAAAAAUCACAAAAAAGUAUGCAUAUUUUGCAUUUUUAGCCUUUAAUGUCCAAAUUGCGUGAUUGUGUUUUAAUUGUUAUUUAGUUUCAAACAAUAAUUAUUAUUGGGAGUUAAUUAGUAUUUUAAGAUAAUUUUAACUUUUAUAAUUUAAUCUUAGCAUUCUAGUUUUAUUAAUUAGAAAAUAAAUGAAAAGAAGAGCAAAAAUAUAAAAGAAAAAUCGGAAUUAGGCCAAUUUUUGAAUUAAUCCCAAGCCCAAAUCAAUUCUACCCAACCCAAAACCCCUUGACCCGGUCAAACACCCCCAAAAUGACCAAACCCAUCAGAUUUGUCUCUCAUCUUGAACUAGGACAUGAAAAAACUCUAGACCCUUCUUCUUCAUCUUCUCCACACCCCCCUGAACUAGGACAAGAAAAAACCCUAGCCCCUUCUUCUUCAUCUUCUCCACACACCCCCCCCAAACCCUAGACCACCAUCUCCUUGAACCAAACACAUCCAUCCAUCGUCAACCACUGCCUUCACGAUGCCAGCAACCAGUCCAAACGCCAUCUCCGCCUCACUACCACUGUUACGUCCAAACGACCCCUCCUAUCACGCCAAACGCCGUUGCUGCCCUGUCUCUUCCAUAUCGAUAGGAGCUCACAAGAGCUACCAAAAGCUUGCGGUGUUCCCCAGUAGUGUGAUAAGCAACGUCCUCUUCAAGAUAUUUCUUGUAACGAGCAUGAUAAACUUCCCUUCCCAAAACCAAUUCUUUAGGAGAUCUGGUACAAGCUAGUUCCACAAGAACAAAAUUGCUUUUUGUCCAUCUCUUAGUAGCUUCCUUAGCCAAAUAGGCAUCGCGCUCUGAAGGAUUCAAUGUCCACACUACCACCAAUUUCUCAAAUCAUUGGUAAGUUCUCUGUCCAACUCUUUAAGGAUAUCUUCACCAAAAGUCUCAGCAUAAGUCUGUUGAAUCAACUUGCGUUGAGCAGCAUUUCUAUUAGCCAAAAUUGAUAUGAUCAACUUCUCGUUUGUUCCCCAUCCUUUGAAGGCAGCUCGGAGUUGUUCACAGUCUUCAGCAACUGAAGGAACUUCUGCCGUAACAAUAAGACUAGCCAUUUUUUUCAAGACUUGUAAAUGCUAGCUAAGGUCCGUCCUCAUCUCCAUAGCUUCAUCGACGAAUAAUACACACACAGUCAUAUGGACAGAAAAGUAAGAGAAAAUCUCGACUUUUGCUUUGAUCUUUGCUCAUGGAGUUUAUUUGAGGUCGUUGUUCUAAGGUUCGAGUUUCCGAUGAAGUUUCCGGGAAGAUCUUAUUUCCGCUCGAGUUCGUCCUAGCUUUAUCCGGUCAGUCCAUUCAACAUAUUGUUAGCGUUCAUUCAUGAUUGUUUAAGUUAGAAUUGUGUUAGUUCAUGCCUUGUAGAUGUGUCAAUCAUGGUUGGAAAUUUGACGUUGUUAGUUCAAUAUAAUUUUGUUCUGAUUCAAUAUGAUGUUAUUCUGAUUCAUGGGUUAUCAAUUGUGUUUCAAGCUUAAAAUUGUGAUUUGAGUUUCAUGAAUCCUAAUGUUGUUCUGACAUGAAUUUGAUCUUGAAGAAUAUGACUUUGUUGAAAUGAUUCUUGAGUGCUGUUGAUUGAGAGUUAAUUUCAUGUGCUAAUCAGUCAAUUGUUAGGCUUGAAUUGGUUAUAGCUGUUGUAGCUUAAGUGAUUAAUUAAGAAUCAGUGUAGUAAUUUAUUAGGUGUAUUUGGUUAGAGCUGAUUGAUUCUGUGCAGAUAGAAAUGGAUAGGGGCAGGGUAGUAAUUUUUAGUUAUUUCGGGGGUAUUUUGGAAAUUGAUUAAAUGUAGGCCCAUAACUUUUAAUUAAAAUAAAAGGGACCAAGGGUAGUGGGGGACAAGACAUAAUUAUUAAAGUAAAAGAGGGUGGGGACUGUGUAGUCCACGUUUGACUACUCUUUGCUUUAAUAAUAAAAGCUGAAAAGUAAAAGUAAAAGGAGGGGGUAAUAAUAAAAGAGUAGUAAUAAUAAUUAAAGGGAGGAGAAAGAAUCUUGCAUUUUGGGGUAUAUAAUAGCAGUAAUUUUAACAUUUAGGGAGAGAAGAUUUAAGAGAGAAAAAAUAUUUGCAGUAUUAAAGGGAAAUAAAAAAAAUUCAGAUUCAGCCUUUGAGAAUUCAAAAACUGAAAGUGAAGUCUUUAUUUACUGCUAAAAUCAGAACAUUGUUACUGCUUCUGUGGUUUGCAUUUGGCUCUGCUGAUUUUCGGAUUGAAUUCUUGGGUUUCUGAUCUUGGUUUUGCUGUUGGAUUAUUUUUGAAUCUAUUUCUUGAGUGUGGAAUCAUCUUUGUUGAUUUUAAAAUUUGUCCCUGGGCGUUUAAUUUGCUACUGUUGUUGCUGUUUUCUAUUGUUCCUUAGCUACGGCUGACCCUUGUCUUCUCCUGUCUUAUUUCUCUAAUCCAGGUAUUCACUUGAGUUAAAUACCGGAGUAACUGUGCAGUUGAGCAUGAGUUGAAAUGUGAAGACUUUUUAUUAUGAAAUAUUGUACCUCUAGUUUAAUAGAUACAAUGAUAAUUAGUUAUGUAAUUUUUUGUUUUAAUUCAACAAAAAUGCAUUAGGUAGAUUGUACUUAAUUGAAGCUUUAUUUAUUUUAAAACUAUAAUUUGUAGUUGUUUAAUUAUAUAUUUAAUAUAGUUAUGUGAUUUGUGCGAAUGAACAUGUUGUUAGUAGAUCGAUAAUUAGAUUUCAUCCUUAAUAGUCUCUUACAUAUAUAAGGUAAUUCGGAAUCACCUUCAAUUAAAAUUGGCAAACAUUUAAUAUGGGGAAUCGAUUUAACUUAAUUGGUUGGUAAGAUCUAGCUCUGAACUUGCGAAUAUUGGAAUAGGAGCAAUUUGAAAUUGGUAAUUUUUGAAUCUUGUUAGUAACAAAGAUCCGCAAGUAUGAAGCAAAU
rnacentral:lncRNA from 1 species